UUAGCCCUAAACACAAAUAAUUAUAAAAACAAAAUUAUUCGCCAGAGUACUACCGGCAACAGCCUAAAACUCAAAGGACUUGGCGGUGCUUUAUANCCUUCUAGAGGAGCCUGUUCUAUAAUCGAUAAACCCCGAUAGACCUCACCAAUUCUUGCUAAUACAGUCUAUAUACCGCCAUCUUCAGCAAACCCUAAAAAGGAAUAAAAGUAAGCAUAAUCACAACACAUAAAAACGUUAGGUCAAGGUGUAACCUAUGAAAUGGGAAGAAAUGGGCUACAUUUUCUACCACAAGAAAAUCACACGAAAGUUAUUAGAAACUAAUACCAAAGGAGGAUUAGUGGUAG
rnacentral:rRNA from 1 species